GCCCCUCAGUCCUCCGGAGGCCGUCUCUAUGGCAGUUUAGUCCUCCAGGAUGCCCUCAGUCGGCUGCAGUUUUGGGGCUGGCCCAGCCCUUUGGGCAGGUGUCUUUGGGCAUGUAGAGAGGCAGAGGUCAGAAGUUUGAGGAGCACCGUGUUUUCCUAGAAUUCCUGACUUUAUUGAAGACGGAACUGUGUGUGGUUUUGCCAUUUUUGCUGUACGCUAUAAAUUGCACCCAUGAUGGCCAAGGCUGUCAAAGAUUUCAAAACCAGGUUCUCUCGGUAAGAAGUUUGCCGGGCCGGCCUGGCACUUUCCCUCCCGGGGACAAGUGGCACUGAAGGAGGAGAAGGUCCCCAAACAGCCCUUUUCUUCGGACUCUGGGGAGGCUGCAGCUUUGUCAUCUGGCAAAAGAAGGGCGUACAGAAUCUCCCAACACAAAAACCUGGGAAGUCUUGGCACCGGUGGAGAGUGGAAGAUCCAGAGACCAUUUACUGUUUAACCUCUUAAUACGUUAUUAAAUGGUUUUCAUUAC